CAAUAGCGUAUAUUAAAGUUGUUGCGGUUAAAAAGCUCGUAGUUGGAUUUCUGCUGAGAACGACCGGUCCGCCCUUUGGGUGUGUAUCUGGCUCUUUCUUGGCAUCUUCUUGGUGAACGUUGCUGCACUUGACUGUGUGGAGCGCUACCCAGGACUUUUACUUUGAGGAAAUUAGAGUGUUUCAAGCAGGCAUACGCCUUGAAUACAUUAGCAUGGAAUAAUAAGAUAGGACCUCGGUUCUAUUUUGUUGGUUUCUAGAGCUGAGGUAAUGAUUAAUAGGGAUAGUUGGGGGCAUUCGUAUUUAACUGUCAGAGGUGAAAUUCUUGGAUUUGCUAAAGACGGACUACUGCGAAAGCAUUUGCCAAGGAUGUUUUCAUUG
rnacentral:rRNA from 1 species